GAGAACACAAUGCAUCAACAGCACAGGCCGGCCUCUUUCUGAGGCUUUGCAUUUGCUGACAUCUAGUGGACAAAGAGUGAAACGCAAAUGUAAUUAAUUCAAGGUAUGUAUCUGUCAAUACAGUGGAACAAGUGUCAAUCAAUAAUGGUCAAAUGACUGUUUAUUCAUUGUCAUUUUGAUGGUGUAUAAUAAAUACUCACGGCUUGUUUAGACUGUAAAUCCAAUACAAUCGUGAAACAGUUCUUUGAUAGCACAAAACAAUAUAUAUUUUCAUUUGCAGACAGAAGUUAAUCUAUUAUGCAAUGUUAUAUUCAUAUAUCCAACAUAUUAAGGAUAAAGUCUGGAGAUUAACAUUUUAUCUGGUGCUACUUUUCUCAUUUUCAGAUGGGUAUUCGGCCUCAGGAAGCCCCAAAAUCCAACCAAACUGAGGUGAUCCAUAUACCUAAAAUAUUAAAAGUUUGUAAAUAUGUCAGUAUUUUGUCUGGCAACCAUUUAUAGAUAGAAAUGAAUGUUUCUGAAGCCUCAGAAUGAACAUAUCACCAUAUUAAAUAUUUCAAAUGAUAUCCUAACACAUAUUCUCAUGCUUAAUAAAUGUAACCCUUUUGUUUUGACUUUUCCUCUCAAAUCUGGAGAACAAAUCUGAAAAUAGUAAUCUGAAAAUGUGUUUCCAUCUAUAUAUUCAUCAUUCGUCAUUACAGUAUGUGAUCAUUUUUCAUGCACAGGUCAAAUAUGCUUUUGUUCUGAAUCAUAUUAGACAGCCACCUGUGCCGAAUACAAUGGAAACAAAGAGGAGGGAAAGAGGAGUGAGACGGGGGAGUGACGGAGAGAGGUGGAGGCAGAAAGAAGUCUAGGCUGCAGGACAGAGCAGGCAGAGCAGCGGAGGAAGAAACACUCACCUGAAAUCCAGACAAAUACUUAAAAAGUAGUGAAAACUGAAACCCCACAACAAGAGGAUUGUUCAAAUCUGCCAUCAGCAAUGUUAAUGCGGUCUCAUUCGGAGAGAAGAGCCCUCCUUGGGUUCUCAGCUCUGCUGACACACAGCACUCCAAGACAGAGAGAUGAGACCUCCCCACCUCCCCAAUCCUUCACGCCCCAGGAGUCCAUCUUUACACCCAUAUCUCUUACUUCACCACCUCCCUGGGUAACUCAGGCCCUUUCAAAUCUGGAGAAAGGAGAAAAAGAACUGCAGAGCCUGAGGGACCGACAGCAGGCUGAAGUGGAGGAGGUGAACCGUGAGUUGGACAAUGCUGUGUUUGAAGCUCAGAGAGAGGAACGUCGCCUUCUUGAGAAGGUUGAACAGGAGCACAGAGAGGCCCAGCGGCACCUUAGUCAGGUGAGGAGGGAGAAUGCUGCAGCGGUGCGAGUUGUGCAGUCGCUUGUUGACCAGCAACUUAGAAAAAUUGGACAACUGAAGGAGCAGAUACAAAGAUGGGGCAGUACCGCUGGUGGAUCCAACAAAAAUCAACUUCAAAGAGGAGUGGCAGAGGUGACGCAACCUUGGGAGAUCUCUCUCACACUGAAAAGAGUCAGUUACUUAUCAAGCCCUGGUUCCAAGACCUUAAGCUUAGGGGAACUUGAUGUUCGAGAGCAAGGUAUGACCUACCCAAUUGGUGUCUGUGGCGCCCAAGGACAGAAGUGUGCCUUGCACUCAGGGGAUGCAGCAUUUACAAACAUUACCCCUCUUGAAAUUCGAAAGGAACCACAACCAAACAGACCUGGGCAAAGGUGCAGUCCAGAGGAGAACAAUAAGGCCAACAGUGGGAACAUGCGUGUUGUCCGGAAACUACGUCUGUCAAGCUCUACAGAGAAUGAGGACGAGCUCAAGUCACCCACCUUAAAGUCCCCAAUACCAAGACAUCGUGCAGUAUCUGAGUCAUCCCAAGAUGAGGAGGUGGAGUCUGUGUGUUCAGACACACAGGGCCAAGAUCUUUUCCUUGCUAUUCCACCAGUCUCCAGUCAAGGAGAAUCUGAAGGUGAUGAAUCUGAUGGCAGACUAAAUGAAACCAAAAGGCGCUCCACACUGAAAGGUAGGAGAAAGCAAAAGGCCCUUGUCUUGGUGUCAUGUGAAGAACCAUCCUGCCCUCCUGAAGAAACAGAUGAAAAAAGCAGUGAUGUGGUAACAUCUCCAAAAACUAGGCGCAAAGGUUCACUAUCUAGAUACAGUCUUGUAGAUAUCUCCACAAAACAUCAUUCACCUUCCCAACACACUAUAUCCAAGAAAAAAACAAAUGAAUGUUUAAUGGACAGUGAAGGCCCUCCAUCCCCAGUGGGCAGUGAGGACUCUUGUUACAUCUAUACCGUGAAUACUCCUGUUAAUGGAUCCCUUAAGCAAGAGCACUGCCGCUCAAUGUCCACUGCUGACCUCUCAGGUAAUUUGAUUAACAGUGACAAAGGUGAAUGUGGAGGAAUUAGAAAGGUCAACAGAAUGCGUCUUGCCUCUGAACCUUUCCCUCUUGAAGAAGACCAAGGGAAUGCCACAGAAUGUGAUGGCAACACCGUGAGUUCUGAUGAACGACAAUCAAGAUCCCAGACUCGUGUUACACAGGGUUUAGGUUUAAAUCGUGUGAGCAGAUCUCUGUCCAUGUCAGCAAUUGAAGGAGACAAAUUGCACCAAGUCAAGGAGUCACAGCAAUACAACAAGGAGAAGAAAGAGAGGGUUGUGCCUGCUCUAAGAGAACUGGAUGAAGAGGGUGGUUCAACUGCACUUGACUCAGCUUAUUUGGUCAAACAGUUUGGAAAACAAGGAUCAGGCCGCACUGACUUCAACCUACCAAGUGGUGUCCAUGCAACUGUCAAAGGGCAGCUAUUUGUGGUGGACUGUGGAAACGCCCGAAUACAGGUGACUGAUCUCCAGAAAAAUGUUGUACAGCAGGUAUCUCCUUCGGGAUCAGAAAGGUCUUCCCGUAUCUGCAACUAUUUUGAUGUAGCUGUGAACUCAAAGGGUCUGAUUGCUCUAACUUGUGCUGCUGAACGAGCUGUAUUGGUUUUCAGCCGUCAUGGCCGCCUCCUGCAAACAUUUGGAGGCACAAUGAUUGGUUCCACCAAUGAAGAACUGGAUGCUCCUAGAGGUGUGACUGUUACCCGUCAAGAUGAGUUUUUGGUUGCUGAUAUCAAGCGUGGCACCCUAACUUCCCUGAAGCUGGACCCCAAAACAGGGGCCAGAUUGGAGCGCACAGUGGUGACUGGGUACCACAGACCCUACCUAGUGGCCGCCUGUCUCACCACUGGGCUCAUGGCAGUAUCCGAACGAGGAAACGAGGCUGGACGAGUCCCAUGCAUCCGAGUGCUAGAGCCUGGCUGGAGCACUAUCAGAAUCCUUGGAGUCUGCUCCGGCUUGGGACCUGUUCUGACCUGCCCUUGGGGUCUUUGUAUCGACAGCGAUGGGGAUGUCCUGGUGGCAGACUGGGGGAAACAGCACCACCGUGUUCUUCUCUACCCAUCCAAAGGAGUUGGCUGGCCUCUGUUGAGCGAUAACCUCAGCAGCCCAAGGGGCCUGGCGCUGCUCCCUGAUGGUCACAUCGUUGUGUCAGACAGCAUGAAUCACUGCAUCAAGAUCUACCGCUACAAGUGAACAUGAAUGAGGCAGAUGAAGACAGAGAUAGAAAUAAAUACAGAUAGAGUUAUAAAAUGUGAUCCUUAAAUCUGUAAGAGCAGGCAAUAUCCUUAGAAAUUUAUAUUGUGUUUCUUUGAAUAUAAUAUACAGCCUCUACCUCCUAUCUGCUUUAAUUUGAUCAAAUCAUGUUUGUUGAGAUUUCAAAAUAAUACUUUUUUCAUUAUGAUAUUCAGUAGAUGCAAGGCAAAUGUAUAAGAUAACCAGAUUACAUUUAUUUAGUACAAAGAGUAGUGCAUAGUACUAAUGCAUGGUUUUAAUUUUUUUUUUUUGAUGAAUGAUAUUGAAUAACAUUUUGUGAAGUUUGCCCAUAAUCAAAAGCAUGUAGAUGUGAUCAAUAAUCAAGACAAAUUUGAGAACUCUCAGUUUAAUCGUUCAGUGUAAUCAACAGAUCAAAUAUUUAGUUAGCUUCAGCUGGGAGGGACUUGUUGAUUUUUCUACUGUUCUCUGAGUAAAAGAAUUAAAGUUUGAUUUGCAACUAAUUUUGUAUGAUUCUGUUCUUACUGGGGCUAUUGCCUAACCACAUAUUAUCACACAACCUAGGUAUUAAUGCAAAACUACUAGAAAUAAUCUAACAAAAAAGGAUCAAAGGGAGCUUUUUGAUCUUGAUUUGAUGAAACUACAAGUCAAACACAGAAGUAGUAAAAAGUUAACCAAAGAGAUCAAUAAUACUACUAUGCUACUAUAUAAUAUAAAGACAUCAUCAAAUGAUAAUUUGUAAUGCACGAUGGUCCAAUGUACAUGGUCAUGAAAAACUGAUUUUGCAACAGCAAACAAUAAUGUCAGUGCACACACACGCCUACACACAUGUACAAAUAUUCUUCCAGAAACAUCCACCCACGUACAUUUCAGUAUAAAAGUGCAGGUUCAGCUCCUGCACAGCUACAGCUCUGCUCCACGUCACAGGACUCCAGGAUGAAGCUGCUCACCCAAAUUCUGCUUCUGUGCUUGGCACUUGCUCUUGCUCAGAGUCACCAUGGCGACGCA